GCCUGGUGUUGGUGCUGGAGCUGGGGGCUCACAGGGGAUCUCCGGUUCUGCUGUUGCUGCUGCUGCUGCUGCUGAGAUGUGACCCUGAAGGAGUACAGAGUGCCUGAAACAGUAUGAAAAAGGAUAUGUAGAAGAUCUUAGAAGUACAGAUGUGGAUGGUGACUGAACUGCUGCUGUAAACUUGUACCCAGGAUCAUUGUGACGGAAUCUGAGUCAGGACUUUGAGACAUUGUCUAAGCCAUCCUCUGAGGCGGAUUUAGACUCUUUCAGCAAAUGUUCUUCUCCCUGAGUAAUGUUAACUGAUUACUGCCUGUUUGGAGAAGUAUUUAUUCUCUCUGCCAGUUGGACACAUUCCUCUUGCUGUGUGACCAGAAUCCCAGUUUAUUUGCAAUAUUAACUGCAUUGCACUUCAGAGGAGCCUGCAAGAGAUGAGAUUGUCUAUAAGCCCAGCUGACAUUGGACCCACCACCUGCAAAAGCAAUGCAGCCCAUCAUUUCCAGUUAGGACCCAUCCUAGUCAUAUAUUCUGCAGCCUGCAUACUUGAUUAUUGGAACAACAUUCAUCCUGGCUUCAAAGCAGAAUCUGGAAAAACUGCAGCUGGCUGAUGCAACCACCUGCUUCCUUUGCAGCAGUUCUCAGAAAACAUCAAUCCAUGUACAAUCAAUCCAGGCACUUUGCUGGCUCCCUAAUGAUCUGUGAGUCUAUUUUCAGGGCCUUGUGCUGGGUUCUCAGAAGCACUUAUGUGAGUUGGGGAAAUGUCAGCGAUGUCUGCAGGGUCUUGAUGGUCUCCUCCUCGGACUCCAGCUCCUACCACCUCAAGAGGAUUAGAUCUAUGGGAAACUCUGCAGCACUGGCACCAUCCCCACAUCUCAAGGAGUAAUUCAACAGUUGUUGAACCAGAAAGAAAGCAAGCCUUGAUGGGAUUCUCUUGCCUGAUAAGACCUGCAUUUGCUUGGGUAAAGGGAGAUGUGGGCUUGCCUCCUUCUCCAAGGCUUCUUUAUGCAACAAGUGAAAAAUUUUGAGACUUUAAGUUACUGCAAUCAUUCAUUGAGGCAAUGUACAAAGCUGCCAAUUUGAAAACAAGACUUUGCUCAGUAGCAGAAGAAAAUGAAAAAUUCAAGAAAAGCACCUUGCCUGUGACACACCCUGGGAUGAACUGCACUUUUCAGUGGAAGAAACAAGAGGAAGAAAACUCCAGAGAAAUUGCAAGAUCCAUUUGUAACAAACAUAAUAAAUAUCAAUAAAUUGCAUGGUCAGAAAUAGCACCGACAAUAAACAGGAUGUGGUAACUGGAAUGAGCAUAUAAAGCAAUGCUCAUCAAAUGAUCAGAUUUGCAGGGGGACAAGAGUAUUUGUAUUUUUAAAAAUGCUUUUUGGCUGUCAGUUCCCUGGAAGAAGUUUCUGGUUGGCACCAAAAUUUCAUGAAGGAGUUGGACAGGCAGAAAUGUGAACCACUCUUAUACUUGGAAAUCUAGAAAUGUAUGAAUUCUUUGGCAGGCUCUGGAUGCUGCAGAACAGGCCCUACAUUCACCUAAUAAAGCAACACUUGCUACAUCUGUAUGCCUUUUGGUAAGAAAGAUAAUGAAAAUGUGAGGAAUUUGUGUCCUUGAGUUCACACGUCUUAUGAAUGUUUAUAAGAGCAAAUAUUUAUUAAUUUAGGAUGGCUGUUUUAAGGAUGUGUUGCAACUUGUUGUUACCUUGGAAAUCACCCAGUCAAAAUCAUCAGGAAUUUUUCAAAUAUCUAGUCAUUGGAUAUUUUGCAUAAACAAACUGAGUAACUUCAGAGAAUGGACAGUCUUGGAUAACUCAGAAAAGGUGGCUGAAUAUUUCAAAUAUUUUACUACAAAUAAUUCAUUGUAGACUAGCAGAAUUAAUGUCAAAUCCAGCUAGUUGCACAAUAAUUGAGGAUUCAUAAAAUGUUUCUGGGAAUCACCAUGUAAUUACCAUUGUCUCCAGUGGUGGUACAGGAAAAUAAUAUGCAAUAUUUCAAGAUAUUUAAUUAAGAAGUGUCAGUGAGUUACCUUGAAGAUAACUUCUAUCACCCCCAUAUGACAGGCUUGUGUAUGACUAGAUGAUGGAUGAGUCCUCUCAGUAUGAAAGACAGAUGAACUGAGGAACAUCAACAUGAUAUGCAGAACUCAGGAUGAUGAAGUAUAUAUAAUUGUUAUUUACUCUUUAAAGGUGACCUACAAAUACAAUGCUUUAUGGUUAGUUUUCUUGUCUUCUUUAUAAUGCAAUAAAAACUCUAAAAAGUUCUCCAGUAGAAACUGUACUUUUCUUUUUCCUUAGAAAUUCUUGUCCAUUUUGUUUUUCCCCAAAGACCUCUGAUCCAUGAGGGAAGUAACAGGUUUAUGGUAUCAGAUAUCAAGGAAAAAAAGAUGUUUGUGUGAGGGUAAUUUCUUCUGUGGUCUGCUUUGGAUGUGGGAGCUGUUAUGAAUUCAUGUGUGGUUUACUAGUAAUGUCAAAGCAAAAACCAACAUCCCUGUCUUGGGAAUUGCAGAAAAAAACUUGUAGCCUUCAUGAUGAAAAUGUAAUAUGAGAUCAGGGACAAAACGGAAUAGAGAAUUUAAAGAAAGAUGGGUCUCCUCAUAGUUAUUUCUUUCAAAGGAAUUAAGGAACUACCAGUUUAUGUUAUUUAGCAUAAACAAUGGACUGUGUUCCUUGCUCAAGUAACUGCUCUCUUACAUUCUGUGGGCUGCGCUACCUUACUUUUGACUAACUGCAGUUUUUCUCACUGUCACCACACAGCUGACUUGAUCACAGCCUUCAGUUUGGGAAUCCUUGCUUUUUACUCUGACUCUUGCUUACCGGCCCAUUUGUCUUCUACUCUAUCAGUGCCCUUCUCUGUGGACCCUAAGGUGAUAAUUACAUUAGCUGUACUUCAUCACAAGCUUGUUCGGGCUUGACAGUUGAUUUUGGCUGACUAUAAUCAGCCUUGUCCCCACUUGUCAUUGUCCCUUUGUGCAGUGGUUGAACAUGACUCUUUCUACAUUAGCAAGCACUGUGCUCCAUUAGGAGUGGAUCUGCUGAGUGAAAUAACCUGCACUGACCUCUGUGCUACGUGCGGUUUUGGGGACUUUGUGCUAGUUACAGCCUGGUCUUGUAGGCUGAACGCUCGUUAGUGGCUGAAACACAUCUUUGGGUUUGUCUUCAUCUGAAAGAGGUCUGGUUCGUGUGCUCUGAGACAGGUCUCUUGUGGAAAUCACAGCAUAUAAUGGGGAAAGGUUUGGGAGAUUUAAAAAUGCAUUUCUGACCAUCAGUGCUGAGGAAGGUACCUUUGCUGCUUGCUGAUAUACCCAGUGUAGUACUUCUUCACCUGGUCUAAAAUGAGACAGGAUUCCUAGGGUUUCCCUGUGUUAAAAGGUAGGUGGAAAUAUUUUUGUGGUUUUUCUACAACUAAACCUUCUCUUCCUGUGCUCAGUUAGCAGAGGAUAUGUGCUCUUUUUCCUUAGUGUGUGCAUCCUGAUGAAGUGUAAUCUGGGUUUAUUCCUAUGGAAGUAUCUCAGUGGGAUAUCCAGCUGACUUCAGUGGAUCAUCUCAAAACUAGAACAGGUCAAUUUUUAUGGCUUGCUUUGACAUAUGAUGGAGGAGACUGCAUAGGCUGAAUGUUUACUCCCAUAUUUUCUUGGGACAAGGAUCAUCGGGAAGACCUGUAAGCUGUUUCCUGACAGGAGAUUGAGAGAAAAUGAACUGUUAACAAGAAUGUUGCCUGCUGCCUGAAUUGCCCUAAUUCAUGAAGGGACAUAAAGCUUAGACAAAAAUUUAUGGUGCCUUAGGCCUUGGAAUGGCUCAGUUGUUUAACAGCAUAUUUGUGUUCAUGCAAGCACAGAUCUGGGCUGAACCAGAGCAUUGGCUGGAGCGCUGCCAUGGAUGGAUAGGGGCUCUUCAGGAAGGACCAUCCCGGGGGAUGGAGGGAAUUCUGUCUGAGAGCAGCAGGGAUGCACAGAGCUCUGCCCUGGCAUGGAUGAUGAGACAGCUCAGAACUUGCAAGUUAGGAUUAGCAGGAAUAAUAAUGUGGGUGUUUUUGAGCGGGGUGCCUGCUAGUGCCAGCCUGACUGAGAAGAACAGAAGAAGCCUUCUGCAGACAGCUGGAAGAAGUCUUGUGUUUGCAUGCCCUGGUACUCAUGGAAGACUCCAACCACCCUGAUAUCUGCUGGACACAACACAGCAGGACACAAGUAAUCUGGGAGGUCUCUGGAGCGCAGGGAUGGUGACUUCCUGAUGUGACUGGUAGAAGAGCCAACAAAGGGAGACACCCUGACAGACCUGAUACUUACAAACAUGAAAGUUGUGGGCAACCUUGUCUUCAGUGACCAUGAGCUGUGGAAUUCAGGGUUGUGAGAGGUGGGAGAAGUGCCAAGAUCAGUAUCACAAUUCUGAACUUCAUAACAGAUUUUGUCUUGUUCAAAGACCUAUUUGGAAGGGUCCCAUGGGACAUGGUACUGAAUACAUGAGCAGUCCCUAAGGGCUGGUUGAUUUUCAAGAUCACCUCCUCCAAGCUCAAGAAUGGUCCAGCCUGACAAGCAGGGACGAAAGCAAAAGUAGUAGAAGGGCUUCAUGGAUGAACAAGAAGAGCAAGGAAGCCUUAUCCUCAUUGAAGGAGGAGUGGGGCAGAGAAUAUUUAAACAAAUUGUGCAUGCACAAAUUCUUAGACUGAAGGAAUUUGAACAAUCUCCCUGUAGAAAGAGGAUUCUCUGUUACGAGCAGCUCUUCCACCUUUUUGUGACAUGUGAAUUUAGUUUUUUUCUUCUGAAAAGAAAAAUCAACUGAAAGCUGAUUUACUUUUCUCAAUAUAGCCACUUCUCUAACCUUGCAAACACAUUUCAUAGCUGCAAGGUGAUAGUAAAACUGUUUAGAGCUCAGUUUAAAACAAACAAACAAAUACGCAUCUGGGCAAGAUAUAGAAACAAUAUUUGUAAACAAUUGAAUACACUAAGUAAUCUUAAGACAAAGUAAAUAGUUUAUGAGAUGUACAUAGUUAACUACUAUCUACUAAAACUAUUAUCAAGAAUAAACCACAAACAAGGGAAAAGGGCAAUAGACGAGAGUAUAUCCUCAAUGAUAAUUUGACUGGCCCUACAGUUCAACAUUUCUUAGGGCCAUAUUGACAUAUUUAUAAGAUAAACAUUAUAUUUACAAAAAAUGAUUAUAAAAAACCCCUGAAAGCGGUCCUGAAACUGUAUCAUUUGUCAUGUUUUAUUUUUUUGUGUAUCAGAAUCUGUUAAUUAACUGCACUGUUAUAUUUUUGUGAGAGAUAUCAAUUUAUCCAAGCUGCUGUUCCAUUUCAAAAGAUCUCAGAAUAAGAUUCUUCACCUAUUCAGUUGAAAGCUCACUAUCCCACAGAGCCAUUUUUUAAUCACUUCAAUGCAUACCUCCUUAGAGAGUAGAAAGUGUUCUUGACUUUAUUAAAAUACAUUUUGUCUUCCAAACUGAAAACUAAUCCAGAUUCAGAGUCAAAAGAUCAUCAUGCUCAGUUCUAAAAGAUUUUUUAAUUUUUUUGUUUUGGUGUUAAUAAACCUUGAAAGUUUGCAUAUUGUUGCUAGUGUAUACUUUGAUCAGUGGAUUUGAAAUGCAAGCUCUUUGGCCGUGGCCCUUAUUUUCAUUACAUUCAGGCAGCACUGAAUACAGUGGAGACCAAACUCAUUCAGAGGCCUCUUAAUGCCAACAGCAAUAUAUAACAAUUAUAGAAAGAAUAUUAACAAGCACACAUGUUUUAGUGAGAUUUUUUUUUAAAUUUCUGUCCCUUACUUGCCCUGUGAUUUUUGACCUGAGGUCCUCUGUAAGAACUGAACAGGAUUUUCUAAAUAUUAUUGUGUCUUCCUGAAAAAUGUGUUUCUAAGUUGAGUUUGGUGAUAUAAAUGUCCUCUUCCCAGCUGCAGAUAUCUCUGUCCAGAGAUGUUUGCUUUUCAUGUACCAAUAAGAUAGUUUUUUCCCAUAUGAUUGAGCAGGUCUGUGAGCAGCACAAUAAAGGAGACAAACAUGAGGGUGCUGCAGCCGGCCAUAAUCCUAUCCUCCUCUCCUGACCUCUGUUAGAUGGUUUUGAAGUUAUUCAACACAGCUUUACUCCUGGAUCUGCUGUAAAAGUCUGCUUGGUGAAAAAUUAGAAAAAAAAACUUGAGGAAAAAAAACAAACGUGAAAAAACUUGUAAAUACAAGUCUUCAUGCCACUCUUUUUCUCCACCCAGUAGAGUGGUUCAAAAUGUGGAGAAGCCUGGUUAGGGAGUGAUCAGCGACUGGAAAGUGGCAUUGGUGCCUGCUUUCUUGAAUUCAGGACAACAAAAUGCAGAACAAAGAUGCUCUGAGCAUGCAUAGCCUGCCUGCUUCCAGCUUUGGUGGAUACUGAGCUCCUCAGUAGCUGUAGGAGCUGUAGCAGCUGGGAAGUUUAGUAGCAGUUAUUCAAGCUAAAGAUGUUCUCACUGUUUUACUGGCUUGGCUCUUAACUUGUUUCCAAAACCUACAAAUGUAUAUUAUAUCUUGAGAAACUAUAGCAAUUGUUUUGGGUUCUGGUUUUGUUUUCUUGCAGACUACAAAGAGCAUUAUUUUAAUAGAGUUCUGUUUUACAUUAGAACUUCAUUAAAAUGUAUUUUUUCUAUCCUGGCAUAGUGCUUCUGAUAACUGACAUCCAAAAACUCACCUCACCCAAAUGAAAGAUUGAUCUGAUCCCCAUUUUCAGGAAAAGAUAUAAUGAGUGAUCAAUUGUGGCUUGAAAACUUGGAUAGCAGGUUCCAAAAUGAGCAGUAUUUAUGGCUGUUUUAUAAGCACUUAAAAAAUAGGACAGAAAUACCAAUAUAGCCUUGACUACCAAAGUGACUUUAUAAAAUCUCCAUUUAAAUUAUAAUGUCUUGAAUUUAAUGCACUUUAAUGUUUUUAAUUUUGAAUUAGGAAGGAAAAGGAAUUCAUGACAUUUGCACUGUGUGACUCUGCUAUGUGGAAACUCACAGCAUCUCAUAAUGGCUUAGACGGCAAUAAUAAAUAAACAAAAUGGGCCUUAGGCUAUUUUUUUUCUCAUUUGUAUGCACAAAGAUGUCACCAAAGUCGCCUGUUUUCUCUCUGUAAUGGUAACACAGUCCUUGUUUAAACUAUGGUUGUUAUAAAAGUCAGUUACCAUUAUCUUCCUAAUAGUUUUUAUCAUAUGGUUGCACUUCUGAAUCCACAGUAUCUCUUCUGCUUGCUGUUGAGAUGUAGUUGGAAAUUUGGACACAAGUGGGUAUUUACCCAUUUAAUAAAGAAAUGUAUAAAAAACC